GGCCAGAUGAAGAAAAGUCAAUACUUCAGAAUAUAACCCUGGCUGAGAUCACAGAGUCCUUUUUGUAGGUUUACCUUCCCCAAAAGAAGGGGUAGAAACUGUAAAUCUGGUUCACUUGCCAGGUACUGACAGAAGGAUUAGACAAAGCUAGUUGAGAAGUGUGACAUGGUAGCUGAGAACUAUCAUUGGUGUAUCAGCAACUUCCCUCCUAGCUCUUCUCCACUCUCUCCUAUCCACUCCAGACAAUUUUGCUCAUCACAGACUAGGUUUACUCACAGAAGAGGAAGAAGCAGAGGCAUACUGCUCCACUGUCCCACUACCCUGGGCAUGCUGGCAACUCCAGCCCCCUCAACAGGUAAACUGGAAUUGCCAACCUUGCAGUGGGGUGGG
rnacentral:lncRNA from 1 species